UAUGUGAUCGUCUCUCGCAUAUCAAUAAGCGGAGGAAAAGAAACUAACAAGGAUUCCCCUAGUAACGGCGAGUGAAGCGGGAAGAGCUCAAAUUUGAAAUCUUAAAGGGUCUCCCUUUACGAAUUGUAGUUUAAAGAAGUGUUUUCUGUUGAGGUUUUGGUAAAAGUUCUUUGGAAUAGGACAUCAUAGAGGGUGAGAAUCCCGUAUUUGACCUUUACUUUCAACUUUGUGAUACACUUUCAAAGAGUCGGAUUGUUUGGGAAUGCAGUCCAAAAUGGGUGGUAAAUUUCAUCUAAAGCUAAAUAUUGGCGAGAGACCGAUAGCGAACAAGUACCGUGAGGGAAAGAUGAAAAGAACUUUGAAAAGAGAGUUAAACAGUACGUGAAAUUGUCAAAAGGGAAGCGUUUGACACCAGUGUUGUUUUUCUGAAAAUCAAUUAAAGAACUGUUUAUGCUAAGUUGUUUAGACUUUAUCAGCUAUCUGCUUAGUUUUGAGCUUUUCCUUAAUGCACUUUUCAGUUAACAAGUCAACAUCAAUUUCUUUUGCUGUAAAAAAGCUUGAGGAAGGUGGCUUGAGAUUCGUCUUAAGUGUUUAUAGCCUCUUGCCUAUGCAGUCGGAGAGAUUGAGGUCUGCAGCGUAGAUCCUUCGGGGCUAAAUGCAUUUGUGCUAAGUUAUAGCAUUUUAUAGACAACUUGUUGACUAUGAUUUGUCUUGUAGCUUACUCGCUUAUGUUAUUUUACCUACGCUUAGGAUGUUGAGUAGCGACAUACGCAC
rnacentral:rRNA from 1 species